AACACACAACAUUCCAGGAAUGUACUACCAAAGUUCUAUCAAUAUUUGAAUGUCCUGGACAUUUAGGGAACAUUCGGUGAACAUCUGUUUAAAUUAUUCCUGGAAUGUUACCAUAAGACAUUCUGUGAACAUACUACCAAUGUUCCUAUAUUUUAAGUUGCGAAAUAAUACAUACGUGUAAGAGAUACAACAUUACUUAUAACAUACCAGACAAACUAAGUGACAUUUUAGGCCUACAGUGCAAUAAUAUGUCAAAUUUAAAGAGUUUCCCAAGAUUAUAAACAUACAAAUGUAAUAAAAAUUAUUGUUCGCGAAUAUUCAAUUUGGAAUGCGAUUUUGUUAAUAAAAAAAAUACUUAUAACUUAUGCAAAACCCAAGAGAGGCAUUUAUAUUUAUUUCUUUUGCGUUCAUUUUCAAAUUCGCCGUGCAUAUAUUUUUGUGCAUGGCGCUUGAGAGGGCAUCACGUGACUAAAAACGACCAACCAACGACCUCGCUUCGGCCAUCUUGGCAUCUUCAUCUUGGCGACCUUGCCUUGCCGUGGAUUGUUUUUAGUUGUUUGUAUUAUUUGUGCUUUUUAAGAAUAUUUUUUUAAUUCGGAUACUUUUAUAAUAGCUUUAAUAGUAUUAUUAACAUAGUGCAUAAAAUGGUGUCCUGUUUUUAACGCAGUUGGAGUAGCAGAAACAAAUGUAGAUAAAAAAAUCUGCAGGAAUAACGUUUCAAUUAUGACAGAAGCUCAAAACAAAUGACUGUGAAUGAAAAGCCCUAUUAAAAGCUUUCCAGAAGAUCCUGCGAAGAAGACAUGAAGUAUAGAUCAGAUUUGUUAAUAGAGGAGUAUGUUCAAAACACUUUUUAGAAAAAUAUAUUGACAGAACUUCACUUUCAUCUGUUCGUUUGAGAGACUGUGCUGUUCCAAUAGCUUAUGUCACACAGAAUCAGCUGAGAGAAGUGGUCUACAAAAAACCAGAAAGGAAACGGAAUAUGUGGCUACGAAAAGCAAAAGAAAGGUUUACAAAGCAAAUGUGACACAUUUUUUUAUAAUAUUUAGGAAU